rnacentral:rRNA from 1 species
UACGUAGGUCCCGAGCGUUGUCCGGAUUUAUUGGGCGUAAAGCGAGCGCAGGUGGUUUAUUAAGUCUGGUGUAAAAGGCAGUGGCUCAACCAUUGUAUGCAUUGGAAACUGGUAGACUUGAGUGCAGGAGAGGAGAGUGGAAUUCCAUGUGUAGCGGUGAAAUGCGUAGAUAUAUGGAGGAACACCGGUGGCGAAGGCGGCUCUCUGGACUGUAACUGACACUGAGGCACGAAAGCGUGGGGAGCAAACAGG